UAGGGAAUCUUCCACAAUGGCGAAAGUCUGAUGGAGCAACGCCGCGUGAGUGAAGAAGGGUUUCGGCUCGUAAAACUCUGUUGUUAAAGAAGAACAUAUCUGAGAGUAACUGUUCAGGUAUUGACGGUAUUUAACCAGAAAGCCACGGCUAACUACGUGCCAG
rnacentral:rRNA from 1 species